CACCAUCGAGGCAAGACGUACGGCCGUGCUCUCCCUCCUCCUCCACCUCCUGAGUAUUCCUGGCGGGCAGCGAUGGACAAGCAGAAGAGAAGCAACGCCUUCUUCUUCUACUUCAUGAUGGCUAAGAAACCCGAGGUGGAGAAGCGGCUCAAGAGAAAGGUGGAGAUGGCCAAGCUGGUGACGGCGGAGUGACAGAAUUCACCACAACCAAGUGUUACCAAGUGAGGCGAGGAUGGCCCAGGGCACCACCACCACCAUCGCCACAGUCACCUCCAGAAAGCAACACCGCAUCAUUUUUUUUUUUCACAGCUAAGGAAUCGCCUCAAGGGCAACAAAAAAGGUGUAAAAUAAAAAGCCCGCUAAUCGCUGUUCCCACAAAGACAAUAGUGAAAGGUGGCCAAAAGAGAGAUUUGGAGGAAGAAGAGGAGGAGGAAGAGAUAACAAGAGGAACAGAAGAAGGAGAAGAAGUAAUCUCUCUCUCUCUCUCUCUCUCUCUCUCUCUCUCUCUCUCUCUCUCUCUCUCACACACA